UGCAGCCCUCUUGACUUUCAUUGCUUUUCUCCCUAGCUUAUCCUCAGUUCAUCCCCAGGAAUAGCCCAAAUCAAAGCUCCCACCCGACCCUGGCAUUUUUGUCUAAAAGAAAUGCAAUGCGAGAAAAAGGAACAAGCAGAUGAAAGAGAGUAUUUCCUUCAGAGGCCCAAGGACUCUGCAGUGCUGGGAUGUUUGCAGCAGGGUUCUGUGGUUUGGGUCCUGAUCUGGGUUGCCGUCUCCCAAACUGGGAACAGUGUCAUCCAGCAGCUCCAUCUCUGGGAACUCCCCAGGUGCAUGCGAAAACUGAGGAAGGCACCAGUGCAGACAGAAGACACCAGUUUCCUGGCAAACAGGCAACCGUGGUGUUGGAUAGAGAAGUAACAGUAGCCCCACAGAACUUGCUUGGUUUGCGGUUUCUAAACCCUCCUGAAAUGCUACGCUUGAGUAAGUCCCAACCAAAACAUUUUCAAAUGACAUCUCUUUGCAAACUGCUUGCACUACAAGUUCUAUUUUAACAGAACUGUCUUCUGAUAGGAAAGUGUUUCAUAUGCAAUUUCUUUAAUUAACUCUAGUAACACAUUAUGUGCUUAAGUUCUGUAUUUCCCUUUCCCCAAACUGCUUCACUCUCAGCAGUUAACUGCGUUUUUUCUAAUUGCUGCUGUAAUGCCUUCUUAACUCUUGUAAAGAUCUUAUCACUUCACCUGUAGAUUUCUGAGUAGCCUCUUUUUCUAGUUGAUCCUGCAAUUCCUUCAUUGACUCUUGAAAAGAUCUUAUCACUUCACUUGUGGAUUUCUGAAUAGCCCAUCUGUCUUUUUAUGUUGUUUUAAGGACAACACAUAAAACAGCACCUACAAGAAGUAGUCCUAAUCCAAGGCCAGACUUCAAGAGGGAAUAAUCCCCAUAUAACUCACCCUGAGGUGUCGUUCCUUUUGACUCAGUCAUUUAGCCAGCUCAGGUUAAUGUCUUUCUCCCCCUUAACCCUCUGAGGGUCGGCUUGACUCUCUCCUGGAAAACCUUUCAACAGGUCCAGGUACCAGACAACCUUUCAACAGGUCCAGGCUACACCAGAAAGCCUUUCAACAGGUCUGAUGUGCCCGGGUCACACCGAGAGGACAAAAAUUAUCACUAUAAUUUCAUAAUGAGGGGCGGUCACCAUUUGACUCACCCUUGGUAUCAGUUUUGGACUACACCGAUUACUCCACUACAUCCAAAAGAUCCUUGUCCAUGAUGCCAAAAAUGUUACAACCCGCCCCAGAAAAGGGGGGGGGGUAACCCAGGUUCUUAUUAAUAAAUCCCUUUGGAUGGAUUAGAGUGAAACGACACUAAAUAAUUGGUGUUUGAAAACUUAUAUAUGUAGGGUUUAUUUUAGAACAAUUUUUUUUCAAAGGUAAACAGGUAUGUUGCCAUUUUGGGUGUUAUCAUCUACAGCGAUAUGGCAUAAAGAUAACCUUUAGGGAAAAUGCAUAAGGGAGAGAAAGGAAACACAGGACAAGGGUAAGGGAGAGUAAGGGAAAGCAAAGCUGAGAGUGGAAAGAUGUAUAUAGUCACCACCCACAGGGUCCAGAGGUGGAACUUGGUAUUUGCAGCUUCCAUGUCUGUCAGUUGAAGUGGUGGCCUUGAUCCACUGGGGGUGGGGGAGGGAAGCCCCCACACUCCAAGAAGUUAUGAGUUAUUAUAUCCAUGGAUGGUGUCCCGGGCCAUGCCACGAACCCCCAACAUCUCCUGGGCCUGUGCAGAGUUCCUGUGAGGGGCCUGGUAAACACGGCUCUUCUCGCCUUUUCAGGGCUUGACACCUUCAGCAGCAUUGGCAGGGGGGAUGGGUCCAGCUGCCUCUUCCCAGCCUGCAGAAGUCCCCUGGCAAUCCCAGAAUGCGUAAAUCAUGAACCAUUUCAGUCUCUGACAGCACAAGGUCAUGGCUGUCAGGAUUUUAAAGAUGAAUACAGUGUUUGCCCUGCAGCUAUUAAACAAAACAGGGGGAGAUGUGGUGUAUCAUGGACCAGAGCAGAACAUAAAGGGUUACCGAAGCAGAGGAUGUUGCCAGAACGGAAGAGAAUGUGGCAGAAGGUGGGAGGAACUGUCUACAAUGUGCAUGGAGCCAAAGGUCGUGUGACCCAAAACAAGAUGAUUGAAGAAAAGAAGAAAACCUGUUGAAAGCUGAUAGGUGUAAAGAUGGACAUUAGUUGUUAAUAGGUAGAAAUAUGCUCACUGUAAUUUUAUAGGGCCAAGUAUUGCUUGUUGAUAGGUUAUAGAUGAAACUAAUUCUUCUAGAAAUAGAGGCCUGAAAUAAAUAAAUGAUUCUCUUGCAUCACA